ensembl:lncRNA
ACUGACAUUUUCCCCAGAUUAUGUCACACGGACACAUGACAUCCAACUGUGCGAUAAUGACUCCAUAGAGCUAGAGCAACCUCACCAAUUACAUUUUCAGAUGACAGCACUAACCCUAUUAAUGACACACAAGUGCAUUACUAUUCCAUUCACUCCUUGUCGUCUAGCUGCAGGUGCAAUUGGCAGUUGCUGUGGCUAGAGCAGUUUUCUCCCAGACAAGAACAUCUCAAUGCACCUCACACAAACAGACACACGCUCUUCUGAAACUCAAAGUGACAUUAAAUGGCAGUUGUGUCUGCUGUAGCUCACAGUGCCCGAAUAGAUAGGACAAGCUGAGAGUAUCACAUUCCAAACACAGUUGAACUCCUCCCAUGCAUGUGCUGCCUUCAACAGGGCCUCCACCUAAAGAAAGAACAUUACACUAAAUUACCUUUUGCAUUUCAUCUCUAGCUGUGAUUUCUGGAAACAAUUCAUGUCAAAAUGGAAGCAAAACACCACCCAAACAGAUCCAGCACUUGUUAAAUUUAAUUUUUACCCAUUUUUGUUUUACCAAUAUUUUAAAUAACCCUGUAAAAACAAAAUAUCCAAACAAGCUUCAUAUUAAGCUUUCAUAUCAAACAUUAUAUCUAACAAAAUGGUGUGAGAACGCUUAACGGGGAAGUCGUGGCCUAAUGGGGGGAAGUCGUGGCCUAAUGGGGGGAAGUCGUGGCCUAAUGGUUAGAGAGUCGGACUCCCAAUCGAAGGGUUGUGAGUUCGAGUCUCGGGCCGGCAGGAAUUGUGGGUGGGGGGAGUGAAUGUACAGCGCUCUCUCCACCCUCAAUACCACGACUUAGGUGCCCUUGAGCAAAGCACUGAACCCCAACUGCUCCCCGGGCGCCGCAGCAUAAAAUGGCUGCCCACUGCUCCGGGUGUGUGUUCACAGUGUGUGUGUGUUCACUGCUCUGUGUGUGUGCACUUCGGAUGGCACACACACUCACACAUAUAUACGCACUGGCAUGGCAGGUAGUCAUACGCUCUCUCUUACACAGACACACACUGGGCAAGGUCUAAUGGUAGGCCCCAAUCAGAUGCUGGCUUCUUGGUAAGCCUUGUGUGAGCUAAAGGCUUCAAGCAAUGGCAACUCAUUAAAACUGAGAUCCUGGAGCAACUGUCGCGCCACUAGCAACUGGAAGCAACCUCUUCCAUGAUAGGAGCAGACCAGCAUCCCAGACCCAAACAGCCUGAUGCAUUACAGCUCACACAUGCAAGGAUCAGACCCUUCCAAACAGCACAAUGUAUACUUGACAUACCUCAUCUAAACACUGCCAUAUGCUAAACAGUAUUUGGAAAGAAAGAGUGCAUGUAAUCAUCAGAACUGUGAUGGCAGUUUUUUAGGGAUGCGUGAGAUAUUGGUACCAUUUAUUUAUAUAUAUUUUUUAUAUAUUUAUUGUGUUAGUAUAAUGUGUCAGUAUGGGUAAUUUAAUAAAAUAAUAUGUAAUAGCAAAUAUCAAAAUGAAUAUUAAUUUUUAAUGCUUAUGUUGUAAUGCCUUUAAAAAAUUAAAAAUAGUUUUUACUUCAAUAGACAAUAGAUUUUUUUUAUUAUUAUUUUUUAAUCUGUUUAGACAAAAUAGAUAUAGAAUUUCAAUAUUGACCAUGCAUCAGUUAUCGGCAAUAAUGUAGAGAUAAUUAUCAGCUUAGCAGUACCGGCCAGAAUUUAAUAUUGUACAGUCCUACAUUUUCCCAAAUUUUGUGUGCAUUUGCUUGUGAUCAAGAAAUGCUCCCUGAUGGAGGGAUGUUGUAUCAUCAGUCAGGAGUUUGGCCCAGUUUUAUGCGGCUUUGGUAACCUUCUGGAGCGUUCUUUGAGGUGACUGCUCCUCCACAUGGGUCACUCUAAGGCUGACCCGUGUUUUAAACCGGGCUCCUGGCAGCCAGCCUGAUUCCGUCUGUUGGGCAUAUUGGGACGUUUAGUGGGGUGCUUGUGAAGAUCAAAUGGGUUAAGAUGGUCCUUCUCCGUCUGUUGGGAGAAAAAGAACAUCAAAAAGGUGUAAAUUUCACUUCCCCACUUUUGAUUAAGUCAAGCAUGAAAAGAAAUGUAAUACUUUCGAGUGGCAAAGGCUCUACACUAUUGAUGCAGUUACUUCUGCUUGAGAGGAGCCAGUGAGCCUGCAGGGAGUGGAGCUGAGGCUGGGCCGGGUAAAGACACGGCCAGAUGGAGGGCUUUCUCUGCUUCUGAAAGGAGGCUUAAGAGCUCCCUUCCUCAAUCCCUCUCUAUACUGCCUGGGUGCUGUCCCAGUCCUGCUUGCCCCCCUUAACCCCACAAGCUCUCUCUCCCCUUCUUUCUCUCUUUCUCUCUAUCACUCAGUAGCUUCUACCAUAUGGGCUUGUUUAAAAACUCCAACAGCUUGCUAAACACAAGCACAACAACACAGUAUUCAUAGCGUGUGCUAUCCAACGGAGACCUCCCCAAUCUCAAUCACAAACACAUAUACAUACACACACUCACCGAGGCAAACACUAGUCCUUCAUAAACCUCACAACUUCAAUGACAUUUAACUCCAGUUCAUUAUUUAACCUUCAUAUUAAGUUUAAGUUAUAAUAUUUCUGUUAAGUAGUUGAUAUAUUUUUUUUUUAUAUUU